ACAUUACAACUUUCAGCGAUGGAUGUCUAGGUUCUCGCAAC
rnacentral:rRNA from 1 species